UGGGGAAUCUUGGACAAUGGGCGAAAGCCUGAUCCAGCCAUGCCGCGUGAGUGACGAAUGUCUUCGGAUUGUAAAGCUCUUUUUGGCGGGGACGAUAAUGACGGUACCCGCAGAAUAAGCCCCGGCUAACUUCGUGCCAGCAGCCGCGGUAAUACGAAGGGGGCUAGCGUUGUUCGGAAUUACUGGGCGUAAAGCGCACGUAGGCGGAUUUGUAAGUCAGGGGUGAAAUCCCGGGGCUCAACCUCGGAACUGCCCUUGAUACUGCAAAUCUCGAGUCCGAUAGAGGUGAGUGGAAUUCCUAGUGUAGAGGUGAAAUUCGUAGAUAUUAGGAAGAACACCAGUGGCGAAGGCGGCUCACUGGAUCGGUACUGACGCUGAGGUGCGAAAGCGUGGGGAGCAAACAGGAUUAGAUACCCAAGUAGUCCCUGAGCGGGCUGGCAAGGCGCAU
rnacentral:rRNA from 1 species